AGCACAUGAAGCAUUUCACUGCAGAAAUUAUUGACAGUCUUCUCUGUGCACAUCACCAUCCAUUAACUGGGGUUCUGGGAUAUACAGCAGCUCAACAUACAGGUUAAUACUUGGUAAAUUACAUCCUUUCCAAAAAGCAAGUCAUGCCAGACUGCACAGAGAAAAGGAAAGACACCAUGAAGAGAGGUCAGUAGUGGACGGCUCAUAGCCCUGAAAGUCCCAGUUCAAGCUUCCACAAUCAUCCUACACAAGAGCACUGCUUCUCACAGGACUGCCUCAGCCUGGCAGGAUUCAGUCUCCUGCUCUGAGGGAAAAACAGGAAGUCAAGGAUCAAGACCGAGUGCUCAACUGAGAUCAGAAAGGAGGACACACAGUGACUUGGCCAAAUCACUGGAGAUUCACACAGCAGAGCUCAGACGAGUGCUAUCAGCACAGCUGAGGAAGACAACAGUUAGGGUGCAAGGAUCCUGAAAGAGAAACAUUGGUUGUGUUUUUAUUCCUUGGGUAUAAGAAUCCUGAAAGAGAAAGGCAUCUGAACCUUGGAGGCAUGGGGUUCAUCUCAUCCUCAUCCAGCCUGUGAUGAUGGAGCUGUUUUCACCAGAAACGUGAGGAGACUCAUACCACUUGAGGUAGUGUGGAUGUGUGGCACAGUUUUGGAGAGGGCUAUUCCCCUACCUUUACAUGGAAUCCAGUAACUCUCUGAAAACAUAGCAAUGGCAAAAGUCCUUUUCGAGACUGCAAGGAAAACAAACAACUACCAAGAGAAGUCCAAGCAUCAGGGAAAGAAUGAAGUGGUGUGGAGACCAUAGCCAAUAGCUGCUUUAUGAGCACAUUUGUGGCUACCCUUGGGGACCCAAGAAAUAACCGGGUAAGAGGUAACUUUCCAAGAGAGGUUAAAGGUCCUACAUGGUGGCUAGGAGCAAG
rnacentral:lncRNA from 10 species